rnacentral:lncRNA from 1 species
AGAAAAUCUCAUUGUUGAUUGGAUUCAGACAUAGAGGUAGACGCUCUCUUAGAAGACAACCUCUGACUCUUGGCAAUCUGUUGCUGGUGUGUUUCUGGUGUGUUUCUUCAGCCUCCUUCAUUCUCUUGGCUGAAAGUUUAGCAUAUUCUGCAGGCUCUUCCUUAUUUUUCUUAGUACACUGUUUCUUCAGAGCAAUGUACCAACAUUUGUGUUGGAGCGACAUGUGGAGUAACAAGAUGCGGAAUCUUGGGCACUUUGCUUCUAGGUUUCUGACCUUUUUUUAAGGGCUUUCUCAUGACAUACUGGUGGACAUCAUCUUCUUUAGAGAGACUGAAAAGUUUGCAGAUUCUGCAGGCUCUUUUGGGCCCCAGGAGGCAAGGCACAGUAGUAUCAGUGAGUGCAGGAAUAUCCUUCUGCCGUUAUUUUAAAGUGACAAAGUUGGAAACAGUGAGAUUGGUAUCCACAAUAUGACCCCGAAGAGAUUUGAGCUUUCUUUGUUCAGUCCUCCUUGGUCUGUUGUUGGAGUGCUCCUUACUCAGCAGCAGGUGGACACCUGCUUCAUUGGGAAGGGAAGCCUUGUUUGUCAUUACCACACUGACUUUGACCGUGUGAACUUUCCAUUCUUCACAGAGAACAUCAGCAGCAACUUCUGUGAUCAUAUGCGUUUCAUAAAAGGGAGAGACAGCCUUUUUUGACACCAUGUGCUUGGCUUCAGUAACUCAGAGGAUUGGAGAAGCAUUCCUAUGGGCUGUCUCAAGUACGACUCCCCUGUGUUUGCAGUCUCACAACUCCGAC